ACUUAGAAAGAAUCAGGUCAGUGAAAGUCUUACUUAAGUCCCCUUAAGAAGUUUUUUCCAACCACAUGUUUCUCUUCAGUAUUGUAGUGUGCCUAUGAAUGAUGAAUCUUUUUUUUGUUGCUGACGUUGUUACAUUAGCUUGCUGUAUAAUUACAUAUGUAAUGAUUGCAGCUUUGAAUAUGGUAACAAAUAUCUUUCUGACUCUACAAAUUAAUUGAAUUUCUGGUAUUGCAUAAGAGGCACACUUUAAAAAUAAAUCACUCCUCCGUGCUGUAGGGCACCUUUGCAGUUCAUAGCCACGUGUACCCGAACUUAGAUGCCCUUCAAAAUAUGGCAGAUUUGACCUUGUAUGAAACCAAAGUUUAAAAAGUUACAUGGUAAAUUGAAUUUCUGGUAUUGCACAAGAGGCACACUUUAAAAAUAAAUCUCUCCUCCAUGCUGUAGGGCACCUUUGCAGUUCAUAGCCACGUGUACCGGAACUUAGAUGCCUUUCAACAUAUGGCAGAUUUGACUUUGUAUGAAACCAAAGUUUAAAAAGUUACAUGGUAAAUUUCAUCCAUUGCAUGCAUUCAUUUAUCCAAGCAGAGCAUAACCCUAUGACAGACUGCAGACUAUUAAAAAUAUAAAACAUGGGGGAAAAUAUAUAGAUACAUAGAUGAGAUAAAUAGAUGAUACGUAGAUAAUACAGAUAUAGCCCUAUAUAUAGAUAUAUAGAUAGCAUAGUCCUAUGACAGACUAAAGACUAUUAAAAAUAUAAAACAUGGGGGGAAGUUAUAUAUAUAUGUAUGUAUGUAUGAAAACAUGGCCCUUACCAUCUGGGAGCUUAUAGUCUUUUGGGCUGUUUAAAACAGACACAAUGCAAAGCGAUAGCCAUAUAGGACAGUACUGAUAUUCUGUCAAACUGAAUGUUACUAGCAUGCAUUCAUUCAUUCAAUAAAUAUUUACUGAAAGAUUUCUGAACAAAAUAGAGGCCAAAGCAGGAAGAAGGGUCUUCAGGUCAUAGGGUUAGUGAUGGGUCUGGAAGGACAUAUGUAGGAUUUGGACUGAGGAGAGGAAAAGGCAUUGUGCUUGGAAUUGGAGUGAAGUAAAAGCUAAUUUUUGCAUGAGAUCUACAUAUAUACCGAGGUGCACAAGCCCCAUCUUGUAGUUGCUCCACAUGUACUUUUAAAACUAGUUCAUGAACUUAGGUAAAUAAUAGAAAGCCUGGGAUGCCAACCUGAGGGAUUUGGACUGUAGGCACUGCAGAGCCCUUUAAGGCUUCUCUGAAUGAGGAUAUGAUAUGGGAAAACAGUACUAUGGGGAAGUAACCCUUUGGAAUUUCAUUGGAUGAAGCAAGAAGGAAAAUUGAAAGGCAGUGACAGGAAAACCAGUUAAGCCCAUGCUAGUAUUGCAGAUUAGUGAUGAGAACUAGAAUGGUGCCAUUUGCCAUUGGAACAGAACGGAAGGGACAAUUUGCUGCAAACCUACGUGCCGAGUAAUGUGGUUAUUAGUACACACACUGAGUUUUUAAUGGAAUUUAGUAAUUAAAUCAUUAAAUUUAGUAAUUAAUUUAGUAAUUAAAUCACAAAAAAGUUAUUCAUCUACUCUUUUGUUGUUUUUUAUUGGAGUAUAAUUGCUUUACAGUGGUGUGUUCGUUUCUGCUUUAUAACAAAGUGAAUCAGUUAUACAUAUACAUAUGUUCCCACAUCUCUUCCCUCUUGCGUCUCCCUCCCUCCCACCCUCCCUAUCCCACCCCUCCUCAUCUACUCUUAAAAUUGUUUUUUGUGCAUACAUUCAGGCAUUGUGAUUUGUAGAUACUUGUUUUAAAGCUUUCAAUUGCUUCUCAAGAAUCUUUGGUGAGAAAGAUACUUGAGUUUCUGUAUCUAAUUAUAUCUUCAUGGGUCCUAGGGAGAGCAUCCUUUUUAUAACCGAUUUUUUUUUAACAUAGGUAUCUAAAUGGUUUCAAGUGGAUUUGAAAAGCCACAAAAGCCGCAAAGACAAAGCUUGUAGCUCUUCUAGUCAUUAAAAAAUAUCGAGUCUCUUUCAUGAGUUGAACUUUCCACCGAUACAGUUCCACGGUUUGGUGUAACGAUAUGGCUUGUCACUCAUGUGAUAAAGCACAUGGCUUAUUACCGUGCUGUAAAAUAAGGAUAAUAGACUUUGCUCGGUACUGAAGACCAGGAAGGAAGCAGAGAAGUUUUUCAUCUUGGUAGGUUUCCCUCAUUCCAAAGCAGACUGCAGGGUGAGUAAUCCUGGAAAAGCAGACACAGGUGAGGCCCAAGUGAGUACACAUUUUCUGACAAAUCAGGAGGGGUUCUUUCUUUAAAACUGUGGCAUAAAUGUAAUUUUACACUAUAGCUGUUUACCAUUUUGGUAGCUACAUUUUGUCCUACUGUCUAAGAAAUCAAACAUCCGUGUAACUUGGCAGUCAAGGCAAGAUAACUUUCCUGAAUCUUAAAUUGAAAAUUAAAAUUUCUGCUUAUUUGCUAUUAGUUUUUACAUAAGUUAUUUUGAAUAAGUCAAUUUUUCUUUCUCCAGGCAUUAUGAAAAACCUACGUCUCAGAGUCGUUACCAUGGUUAUAGGUCUUUAUUUUACUGACACAAUGACAAACCCAUCAAGAAAAAGCAGUAUUUUAUUCAAUUCCGAGUGCCAAUGGAACAGAUAUCUUCUGACAAAUUGUUCUUUUGCUGGAAAGCAUGAAAUACCUGUGGACAUAUCACAGAUAGCAGCCAUAGUGGACGUAAGUUCCAGUUUCUUUAGGGUUCUCUUACAAACUCACAUGAAAAAAGAAGAAUGGAAUAUAAGACACCUGGACCUCAGUAACAAUCUCAUAUCGAAAAUAACCUUAAGCUCUCUUGCACAUUUUCGUGCUUUGGAAAUAUUAAACCUCAGCAACAACGCCAUUCACUCCGUGUCAUUGGAUCUACUCAGUUUCAAGUCCUUGUGGGUGAAACGCCAGAGAGGCAGCUUGAGAAAUGGGCUUCCAUUUCUAAAGUUGCUCAUUCUUCAAAGAAAUAAACUCAGUGACAUUCCCAAGGGGCUGUGGAAACUGAAGUCAUUACAGAGUUUGGAUCUGUCAUUCAAUGGGAUAACGCAAAUUGGUUUGUCUGAUUUUCAUAACUGCCUGCAACUAGAAAGCCUCCAUUUAAAGAGCAACAAGAUAUUCAGAAUUCAUCCAGAAGCCUUCAAGGACCUAAAACAAUUACAGCAGGUUGUAGACCUCAGCAACAACGCUCUGACCGCCAUUCUGCCGAUGAUGAUCGUGGCUCUGGAACUUCCCCACCUGGAGGCUGACUUGGCUGUUAACCAGUGGCAGUGUGACUAUAGCGUGGAAGUCUUCCAAAAUGUUAUUUCUGAAUCCUGGAGAAAAAAGUGGAAUGCAAUUUGCAACAAGUCUGUUGGGAAGGAGGAGGCAUACUGGUGGACGCCCACAAGGCGCGUGUCCAGAGAGACCCACCUUCCUCGCACUAAUCUGAAUCAUACGAGAAGCCUCGCGACGAGCACAGCUGAGAGGCCCUGGGAAGUGCGCUUUUCCACUCUGCGCAAGAAGGACCCUGCGGGCUCUGACACCAGUGACAGGGAGAGGCGGCUGCCAGGAAGGGUUAGGAGCACCGGGGAUGUGCAAGCUGCUGGCAGAAGGGAGGACGCUUCCCAGGACCUGGUCCUGGCCGUCUGUCUGUCAGUGUCCAUCACGUUCUUCGUGGCUUUCUGCCUGGGGGCUUUUGCGCGGCCUUAUGUGGACAGACUGUGGCAACAGAGAUGCCGGAAAAAAAGUCCAGGUUCAGGGAACGUGUAUUCAAACCAGGGCUUCUACGAUGAGAUCAAAGCUGUAGGGAACAUGGAGCAGCCAAGGAUGGAUCUGCGCCAAACUUUCCACGAUCCAAACCUCUGUGAGAACCAAGCCCCACCCGCGGCUGUCACUCCUGCGAGAACGCUGGCGCCGAGCAGAAAGGAGGCUGGCGGCGGGCAGGGCGGAGCACGAUGCGGGGACCACACCGGGGCAGGAAGCGGGAAGGAUAACGCGCUUCCAAAUCACGGUGCGGCCCGGCCCGUUCUCCGCGGAUGGGCGAAUGCUGAUGACACCCAACUCAUGCCGGCGGGACAGGACAGCAUCUACAGGUAUGAUAUUCCUGGAGAAGUAAAUUAUGACACUGUGGCCGGGGAAGGUUCCCUCGGUGAGCGAUCAGUGGGCAUCCCUGCCGUGGCUGCCAGGUUACAGACAAGCCCUGGCUCAAUCUGUAAGGAUUCCAACGAAUUAGGCCCACCCAUCCCCAGGGAAAUGACCACGCCUCUCUCCCAAAUGGUGGCUCGUACGAAAGCUCUGAGGACUGGAGAGAAGGAGGGGAGAGGGGGCAGUCCACACUUCCCUUCGGAGUUUUCUAAGGACAAUGUGCUAAGCGCACAGCAGCAAAGGCUCGAGGGCGCCGGUGACGAGGAAGAGCCCCUUGCCCACUACGGAGUGGCCACGCUCAGUGACCCAGGAGCCACGGACCCGUCCCCACCCGUCUCCACUCCGGGGUGGGGUCAUGACCUGCAUGUGACUCCUGCUAGCAAGGAACUAGCACAAAAGGACACGUCUGACGCUCAGUACGAGCUGGACACAGAUUCUGACGAAGGGUCUUUAUUUACUCUAAGUUCAACAAGUUCAGAAGACUGGAGAAGUGUGGCUGAAGCAGAGGCACAUGGUGAGGAGAACUGCAGUGCCAACGAGCCCCUGGGGGAUGAGGACUCGGGGGAGAGGAGGGACAAUGUCGUGUCAUUAGAGAGUCUUGAGGACAGCAUCGCCUUCCAGAAGAUUCUGGGGCAAUGUGAGAAUCAGGAACAUCAUUCUGGAAAAACUCUCACUUCUGAUCCAGACUACGGUUUGGACGCGACUCAUCCGGAAAGUGGCUCUAACACCAAUAUAUUUGAGGAUCCGUUGACCUUGCCCAGGUCACCGGGCAACAGUCCUUGCAGUGAUGAGAUCCCAGGCAUGUCCAUUGACGACUAUGUCACAGCUCUUCAAUCCAAGGCAGCAGAGUGGCAAUGCUCGCUUAGAGACUUGGAGUUUUCAAAUGUAGAUGUUUUACCACAAACGCCAACAUGUUCUGCUGAAGUCCCCUCAGAUCCUGAUGAGAGUGCCUGUGGUGAAGGAGAUGCAGGCAUUUGUAAAUAUGAACCUUACGUUCAGGGCGUAGACACAGCUCAAAGCAAGAUUCCUUCCAAGAUCGCUGUGGGGAAAAACUUAAGACCCUCACGACAAGUUUCUGAAGAGGACAACAUGAAUGGGCACUGAUGAGGGGUUCGUGUGUCCUCGUGAGGACAGUGAUUCCAGAAAGGUUAUAAGCCAAACACAGUUAUUACACUCCUCUGGUGACGAACCAGAUCUUCAGUGUGAAAGGGGGUGGGGUGGUGGGAGGGGUAUUUUGAAGAUGGUGUCAAGAGCCAGGUACCACUAUUACAGAUGCUUCCAAAUGAAACCAGUUCACUAAGAACACGGGAGCACUUCAGUGACAGAGACUGGGUUCAACAUUCAGAGCCGAAUCAGUGAAUUUGAUUCUCUAAAUUCUUCCCUAUGUUUAGUUAAUUCUAAUAUAAAACUACCAUUCACAAGACAUAGAUCAUUUAGGUAGGAAAGCACUGAGAUAUUUGAACAUCAAAGGUUCCAAUUAAUAAAUUUUACAUUAAAACUUAACAGUGAUGAUGUUGCAGUUAGGAAAAGAUGAUUCUAAUUUUUAUACUCAAAUGCAGACCCAGAGAAACCUGAUGGUUGUUGGCCGUCUAUAAGCAUGUUCAAGUCCCUUCAACAUUCACAUUGAAGAACGGAAACACCACCCUGCUGCUCCCUCAGAAUACCACCUUCUUUUCUCCUUUAUAGCUAGGCUUCUCCAAGGAAUAGUCAGCAACUGUCUGUUGACACACCAGCACACCGUGGUCAGGUUUCAGCUCACCGUUCCUUUAACCCAUGCCAGUAGAGGUCACCAACAACCUCCCAUGGGACAUGCAUGGACUCUUCGGUCUCAUCAGCUUUGUUAUUCUCUCCUUUCUAAUAGCUGGCGUAGGUAACUGACUGAUCUGACUUUGGGAAAGCACUGUUCCAGUUUGGAGCCGUUUCCCGGUGAAUAACGGAUCAGAGCUGGCCGAGUCCACCAUUGAUUCCAACCUUGUGCUGUAGAGGAGAAAACUGAAGCACAGAUUCGUAAAUUGAUGUGCCCAAGGUCACCCAGCUAGUCCUUGUUUCCAACCAGAAUUCACUUUGGAUGUCCCGCACCAUUGAGGACAAUCCUUAUCCUUGCCUCCCCCGCUGGCUGGGUUGCUUGACCGGGGGCUCUGCCACCCAGAAGAUUUAGAAAACAUUCUUUUCAGGAUGUCACAACAUCUUCCAGACGCUCCUUCCCAAGAAGACCGGCCGCCUGCUGCAGCAGACGCCACGCCUGUUGUCCUCGCUGCUCCGGGCACGGGGACAUGGGGUGGCACCCAGCAGCUGGGUGUAGCCCUGGGCUUUCCACAGUUCCAGCCCCGAACUUCACCUUCCUACGUUCUGCAGAUGAGCAGACGAGGGUCAAGGCUUCCUCGUCCCCCCCGUUCCAUCGCUCCCUCCGGAUCCAGGGGAGCCGUGCGGUUCUCCCUCUCUGGAUGGUUCUCCCUCCGGAUGGUUCCCUUCUCGCCCCGCUCCUUCCCUCAGGUGGGCUGGGCGCACUCAGCUUUGGGGCAACCGGGACACUCUACAACCCCAAAAGCGGUAAAAUCUAAAACAGCCCUAGGUUGCUAAACCGCUCCCCACCCUCCUUUUUGGGUUUUUUUUUAAACUCAAGCAGUUGAGUGUGUUUGUGUGUUCUGGAGUUAUUCCUGCUACAGACAGCCGCGACCCGGCUGGCAGAGGCCUUCUGCUCUGAGAGCAGCCUCCCUGCCUGCUGCCAGCCCCAGGCGUGGCUGCCCACGCGGCCUCGCUCCCGGCACGGAGGGACCCGGUGCCGCAGGACAUCUUGACGUGAGAUCAACUCACCACUCAGCGCCUCGCUUACAGAGGGAGCACGUCCGCCCGCAGAGCUGGCUGGGACUGUGAUUUUUUUUUUAUUCUCCUUUUUAAAAUUGAAGUAAAGUUGAUUUACAACGUUGUGCUAAUUUCUGCUGUACAGAAAAGUGACUCACUUAUACACACACAUAUAUAUAUUCUUUUCCAAUAUUCUUUUCCAUUGUGGUUUAUCCCAGGAGAUUGGAUAUAGUUCCCUGGCUCUACAGUAGGACCUUGUGUAAAUAGUUUAUGUCCACUAAUCCCAAACUCCCCAGUCCAUCCCUCUCCCUCCCCAAUGCCCCUUGGCAAUCACAAGUCUGUUCUCUAUGUCUGUGAGUCUGUUUCUGAUUUGUAGAUAGGUUCACUUGUGCCAUAUUUUAGAUUCCACAUAUAAGUGAUGUCAUAUGAUAUUUGUCUUUCUCUUUAAUUAGGGCUGCCAUGUUUAGCAAAUAAAAAUACAGAACGCCCAGCUGAGUUUGCCUUUCAAGUAUAAAACAAAUACUCUCUUCCUAUGUAGGUGUGUCUCAUGCAAUAUUUGGGACUUAUUUUACUAAAAUAUUCUUCGUUGUUUAGCUGAAAUUCAGAUCCAACCGGGUGACCUGUGUUUUACCUGGCAACCCUAGUUUAACAUUCAAAUAAAAAGGAGCUGAAAUACCUUCCACGCAAGGUCCUGAGAGAGUCUGCAACUCCAGCAAGGGUGUGAGACAGUGAACAUUACGUUUGCUGCCUCCAAGGCAGUGAUCAGAUGUCUGGUAUGUCCUGCAUGAGGCAUUUAAGCACACGCCACGCAUGCCAGCAAAAGUGUCUCGUCAAAGCCUAGACAAUGAUUUACAAGCAGUAAAAAUGGAAAUUCACUCACACCCAAAUCCAGGGAGCAGAAAACCUAGAACAAGUCCUGCCCGCUGUUGCCAAGGCUGGGGGGUGGGGGGAAACCGUGAUAAAACCAAAUAGAUGCAAAAGCAUUUCCUUGCACAGAAGCAAAGAGUUACUUGUAGGGAGAGUGGGUUAUGUAAAAGCUUGCAGUUUCCGUAGGAGAAGCUCCUAAGAUCCUUCCGUUCGGUAAAUCCUACCAACAGCGGUAGGUCACAGCGCGCACGUAACUCCACCAACUCCCCGACCUCAUGGCUUCAAAAUGUACCAGCUUUUACUUUGGCUGACUCAGCAGCCUGGGAUGAAUUACUUUCCGUUAACUCGGUGGCACAUUUUUAAACCCCUAAGUAUUUAUGGCAGGCCGACUUUGGCUCGCUAAAUUGUACACGAAUAGGCACGGAAACGCGCUUGGAUUUACCCCUCCAUUCAGCGUAAAGCCUCUCGUGUGCAAAAUGCAGUAAGGGCCACCGGGUGAGGAUGGGGUGCGGCGUAUGAGGGAGGAUGGGGGCCGGGGCUGGACCCACAGCGACGCCGUCCUGCCCUCAGACCGCUUAGAAUUCAGAGGGCAAGACUCAGGAAGACAAGCUUCCUUCACCAGCAGUACAAACGCCUGCCACGAGGGUGGGAGGGUGACGCAUGAGGAAGGAGAUGUGGGGAUAUAUGUAUAUGUAUAGCUGAUUCACUUUGUUAUAAAGCAGAAACUAACACACCAUUGUAAAGCAAUUAUACUCCAAUAAAGACGUUAAAAAAAAAAAAAUUCGCCUGCCACUACAGGGGACACAGCUUUGAGCGCUGGUCUGGGAAGAUCCCACAUGCCGCAGAGCAACUAAGCCCCGUGCACCACAACUGCUGAGCCUGCGCUCUAGAGCCCACGAGCCACAACUACUGAAGCCCACGUGCCUGGAGCCCGUGCUGUGCAACAAGAGAAGCCACUGCAAUGAGAAGCCUGCGCACUUGAACAAAGAGUUGCCCCCGCUCCUCCGCAACUAGAGAAAGGCCACGCAGCAAUGAAGACCCAACGCCACCAAAAAUAAAUAAAUAAAUUUAUAAAAGAAAAUAAAAAUAAAGUAGCACAUCCCACCCAAAGCAUUCUUUAUCACAUUCAUACCUCCUAAAAUUAUCUAUAAAAAUAUUGUUUAUUUAAAUACUUCCUUGUGUUAUUGCCUAUAUUCCCAGUAAGAGCAAAAAUUGGAUUUGUUUUGGUCACUAGAGCAUUCCCUGGGCUGGGGACAGUGCCUGGCACAGAGUAAGUGUUCUACAAACAUUUUUUUUUAAUUGGGGUAUGGUUGUUGUGUUAGUUUGUGUUAGUUUCUACUGUACAGUGAAGUGGAGUACCUUAUGCUACACAGCAGGUUCUCAUUAGUUAUCUA